rnacentral:lncRNA from 1 species
GGCAAAAUAAUUAGGGCUAAGCUUAAUCCCAAUCCUGACUCGUGACUAAUUAUAAAACUGAAGUUUACGUGCACCAUUUCAUUACCACGAAAUGGUUUGAUAUGUCUUCAGGGAUGACGAUGAGGAUUAUAAAACUUAGUUGUUCAUCACAUAGUGGGAGCGUGCAUUGACUUACACUCAAUUCAUUCGGACCCGUUCAGUGCAAACGAUGGUAAAUUGAGGGAAGGAGCCAGGGUAAAAGAGACGUUUCACAUUGGU